UACGGAGGGAGCUAGCGUUAUUCGGAAUUACUGGGCGUAAAGCGCACGUAGGCGGCUUUGUAAGUAAGAGGUGAAAGCCCAGAGCUCAACUCUGGAAUUGCCUUUUAGACUGCAUCGCUUGAAUCAUGGAGAGGUCAGUGGAAUUCCGAGUGUAGAGGUGAAAUUUGUAGAUAUUCGGAAGAACACCAGUGGCGAAGGCGGCUGACUGGACAUGUAUUGACGCUGAGGUGCGAAAG
rnacentral:rRNA from 1 species